rnacentral:rRNA from 1 species
GAUGAACGCUAGCUACAGGCUUAACACAUGCGAGUCGAGGGGAAACGACAUCGAAAGCUUGCUUUUGAUGGGCGUCGACCGGCGCACGGGUGAGUAACGCGUAUCCAACCUGCCCAUCACUUGGGAAUAACCUUGCGAAAGUAAGACUAAUACCCAAUGAUAUCCCACGAAGGCAUCGGAAUGGGAUUAAAGAUUUAUCGGUGAUGGAUGGGGAUGCGUCUGAUUAGCUUGUUGGCGGGGUAACGGCCCACCAAGGCAACGAUCAGUAGGGGUUCUGAGAGGAAGGUCCCCCACAUUGUAACUGGGACACGGUCCAAACUCCUACGGGAGGCAGCAGUGCGGAAUAUUGGUCAAUGGGCGAGAGCCUGAACCAGCCAAGUAGCGUGCAGGAAGACGGCCCUAUGGGUUGUAAACUGCUUUUAUAAGGGAAUAAAGUGGGUCACGUGUGACUUUUUGCAUGUACCUUAUGAAUAAGGACCGGCUAAUUCCGUG